rnacentral:rRNA from 1 species
UACGAAGGGGGCUAGCGUUGCUCGGAAUCACUGGGCGUAAAGCGCACGUAGGCGGACUCUUAAGUCGGUGGUGAAAUCCUGGAGCUCAACUCCAGAACUGCCUUCGAUACUGGGAGUCUCGAGUCCGAGAGAGGUGAGUGGAACUGCGAGUGUAGAGGUGAAAUUCGUAGAUAUUCGCAAGAACACCAGUGGCGAAGGCGGCUCACUGGCUCGGUACUGACGCUGAGGUGCGAAAAGCGUGGGGGAGCAAACAGG